rnacentral:rRNA from 1 species
GGACGAACGCUGGCGGCGUGCUUAACACAUGCAAGUCGAGCGGUAAGGACCCGUUUCGGGGGUACACGAGCGGCGAACGGGUGAGUAACACGUGGGUGACCUGCCCUCAGCUCUGGGAUAAGCCUGGGAAACCGGGUCUAAUACUGGAUAUGACUCCAUGACGCAUGUUGUGGGGUGGAAAGCCUUGUGCGGCUGAGGAUGGGCCCGCGGCCUAUCAGCUUGUUGGUGGGGU